GAUGAACGCUAGCGGCAGGCUUAAUACAUGCAAGUCGAGGGGCAGCAGGGAUAGCAAUAUUCGCUGGCGACCGGCGCACGGGUGCGCAACACGUAUACAAUCUGCCUUUUACAGGGGGAUAGCCUUUCGAAAGAGAGAUUAAUACCCCAUAAUAGUUGACCGGGCAUCUGGUUGAUUUGAAAGCUCCGGCGGUAAGAGAUGAGUAUGCGCCUGAUUAGCUAGUAGGUGAGGUAACGGUUCACCUAGGCUACGAUCAGUAGGGGAUCUGAGAGGACUAACCCCCACACGGAUACUGAGACACGGAUCCGACUCCUACGGGAAGCAGCAGUAAGGAAUAUUGGACAAUGCCCGCAAGGGUGAUCCAGCCAUGCCGCGUGCAGGAAGAAGGCCCUAUGGGUCGUAAACUGCUUUUACACCGGAGAAAACCUCCCCUCGUGAGGGGAGCUGAUAGUAUGGUGAGAAUAAGCAUCGGCUAACUUCGUGCCAGC
rnacentral:rRNA from 1 species